AUUGAACGCUGGCGGCAUGCCUAACACAUGCAAGUCGAACGGCAGCACAGCAGUAGCAAUACUGUGGGUGGCGAGUGGCGGACGGGUGAGGAAUACGUCGGAAUCUGCCCAGUCGUGGGGGAUAACUAGCCGAAAGGUUAGCUAAUACCGCAUACGACCGAGAGGUGAAAGCGGGGGACCGCAAGGCCUCGCGCGAUUGGAUGAGCCGACGUCGGAUUAGCUAGUUGGCGGGGUAAAGGCCCACCAAGGCGACGAUCCGUAGCUGGUCUGAGAGGAUGAUCAGCCACACUGGAACUGAGACACGGUCCAGACUCCUACGGGAGGCAGCAGUGGGGAAUAUUGGACAAUGGGCGCAAGCCUGAUCCAGCAAUGCCGCGUGUGUGAAG
rnacentral:rRNA from 1 species